UACGUAGGUGGCAAGCGUUGUCCGGAUUUACUGGGCGUAAAGAGCGCGCAGGCGGUCUGAUAAGUCGAAUGUGAAAGCCCCCGGCUCAACUGGGGAGGGUCAUUCGAUACUGUUCGACUCGAAGGCAGGAGAGGGAAGCGGAAUUCCCGGUGUAGUGGUGAAAUGCGUAGAUAUCUGGAGGAACACCGGUGGCGAAGGCGACAUCCUGGACCGGUAUUGACGCUGAGGCGCGAAAGCCAGGGGAGCAAACGGG
rnacentral:rRNA from 1 species